rnacentral:sRNA from 1 species
AGGCUCGUUGUUCUCCCCUCCCCUCUCCUCUUCUCUCUCAUCCUCUCCCUUCUCUCUUCCCCCUCCAGCCUCCACUCCUUCGCCCGCUCAUUCACCCUCUCCCUCUCCCGCUGCCCCCCCUUUCUCCCCCACCUCUUUGUUUCAGCUGAGAACCAGCUCCUCGGGACAGUUCCCACACUGCAGUGCCUCUGGUGAGGAGACAGCGCCACUGAGGCCUCCUCUGAACUCCCAAAAUGUGACCUAUGCCAUCACCGAGGCCGCAGGAACAAGAGGUGGGUGUCCAUGACAUUGGUACCUGUCAUCCCUGUGUGCAGCAGGUGUGCCCCACCCUGGAGGCGGCAGAAGAAGGUAUGUGAGUCAUUGUGGGCUAGGAAGGUGGCUAUGUCCAGGCCCUCAGCUGCAGCCUGGCUGGCAAGCUCAGGUGUGACCCAGGCCCCAGCAGCCUCUGUGGGCCCAUCCUGCCCAUCGGUGCCACCGCUCAAAAACAGCACAUCUAUCGGCCCCAGCGGCCACCUUCUCAACUCUGCUCCAACACGCAGGGCCAGUUCCUGGUUCCGGCCACCCCUGCCCGAGCCCUGCAGCUGUACUGUGGGCUCGCCACCAGCCAGCAGGCAGACUGGGCCCCUUCCCCGUGCCAUGGUCUCC